AUUUCGAAUUUUUUCCAAUGAUUUAUGUUCUGCAUAUUUUGCAAAUGAUGAUAAAGAUUGUAAAUUGUUCUAUUAGAUAUUCAAUGAUAUAAUUAAUUAUAUAAAUAAUCUUAAAUAAUUGUUAACCAAUUUAAAUUUUGCAGAAGGUGAUAAUGUUACCAGAUUUUCAACAACGCCGCCUUCGUUGCUCGAACUAUCUUGUGCUGUCUGUGAUAUAAAUUGAGUGACGUGGAUAUUGUCAUGAUGUGAAGAUUCACUAUAAAGACUAUUUGUGGUUGAAGGCACUAGAGUACAAUGGGAGUUUACCAUUGGACUUCCAUCAGUAAAAUGUAUUGUUACUAAAAAUUUAUGAAUUAUUUUUUCUUUUAAUAUAUAUGUAUAUAUUAUAUAAUGAUAAUGAAAUAAAAAUUACCUCGAUGAGAUUGUAAUUCUGAGAGGCGUUCUUCUAUACAUAAAGCA